UGCUCGCUGUCCCAGCGUCCCUCGCAUCUAAGGCACAGGCUGCGGUUUAAUUCUAGCCAAGGAGACUUCUGAGGAGCCUCCGGAAUGGAUUUUUAUCCCGUAGUAAAGGUAAAUCAGGAGAGAAAAUGCCCUUCCUUCUUGCCUUUGGACAGCGUCACGUGGAUAUGUUUGAAGUGGUGGCAGCCAUCUUGCGACCAAGAGGAAAUGGCUGAGAGAAUUGUGAGUAGUUGAACAAGAGCCCUGAUAUGUUUUAGCUGCUGAGUUAACGAGUCCUGGACCUCCCACCACCGGACUUCUUAUUAUGGAAUCUGUCGUUACUCAGUUUCUCCCUGUCGGAUGGAACAGCCCAGUAGAAAAGGUCUGUGAAGUGAAAUUGCGCAUCGUGAAAAAGGAGCGGCUGUGGGACGUCGCUGAAGGCGGUACCGGGGACCCACGGGCCUCCCGGGCAAAACCAUGAGUGGCGGGAACGGGGCAGAGCGGGACCAGUUUACAACCGAAUAGAGAAAAAUCAACAGGAUUGGGAGGGGCCGGCAGCACCAACAGAGACCCGGAGGACUGCAAAAAGCCCUUAGAAAACCUUAGAAAACUCUCAAAUAUUUUUGCAGAAGACCCUCCUCCCGAUCAAGCU